rnacentral:rRNA from 1 species
UACGUAGGGGGCAAGCGUUGUCCGGAUUCAUUGGGGCGUAAAGAGCGUGUAGGCGGCCAGGUAGGUCGGUUGUGAAAACUGGAGGCUCAACCUUUCAGAGGUCGACCGAAAACCAUCUGGCUAGAGUCCGGGGAGAGGAGAGUGGAAUUCCUGGUGUAGCGGUGAAAUGCGCAGAUAUCAGGAGGAACACCGGUGGCGAAGGCGGGGUCUCUGGGGCCGAUACUGACGUGAGGAGCGAAAAGCGUGGGGGAGCGAACAGG